rnacentral:rRNA from 1 species
UCACGCUGGCGGUAGGCCUAACACAUGCAAGUCGAACGGCAGCACAGGAGAGCUUGCUCUCUGGGUGGCGAGUGGCGGACGGGUGAGGAAUACAUCGGAAUCUACUUUUUCGUGGGGGAUAACGUAGGGAAACUUACGCUAAUACCGCAUACGACCUACGGGUGAAAGCAGGGGAUCUUCGGACCUUGCGCGAUUGAAUGAGCCGAUGUCGGAUUAGCUAGUUGGCGGGGUAAAGGCCCACCAAGGCGACGAUCCGUAGCUGGUCUGAGAGGAUGAUCAGCCACACUGGAACUGAGACACGGUCCAGACUCCUACGGGAGGCAGCAGUGGGGAAUAUUGGACAAUGGGCGCAAGCCUGAUCCAGCCAUACCGCGUGGGUGAAGAAGGCCUUCGGGUUGUAAAGCCCUUUUGUUGGGAAAGAAAUCCAGCUGGCUAAUACCCGGUUGGGAUGACGGUACCCAAAGAAUAAGCACCGGCUAACUUCGUGCCAGCAGCCGCGGUAAUACGAAGGGUGCAAGCGUUACUCGGAAUUACUGGGCGUAAAGCGUGCGUAGGUGGUCGUUUAAGUCCGUUGUGAAAGCCCUGGGCUCAACCUGGGAACUGCAGUGGAUACUGGGCGACUAGAGUGUGGUAGAGGGUAGCGGAAUUCCUGGUGUAACAAUNGAAAUGCGUAGAGAUCAGGAGGAACAUUCAUGGCGAAAGCAGNUACCUGGACCCAACACUUGCCACUUGAGGCACCGAAAGCCUUGNNAGCAAACAGGGAUUAGGUACCCCGGUAGUCCACGCCCUAAACGAUGCC